AUUGAACGCUGGCGGCAGGCCUAACACAUGCAAGUCGAACGAGUGGCGGACGGGUGAGUAAUGUCUGGGAAACUGCCUGAUGGAGGGGGUAACCUACUGGAACAGUUGGCUAUUACCGCUCACCUCCGGUUUGGCCCAGAUGGGUUUAUCUAGUGGGGGGGGUAACGGUUCACAAAGGCGCCGAUCCCUAGCUGGUCUGAGAGGGUGACCGGCCACACGGGAACGGAGAAACGGUCCAGACUCCUACGGGAGGAAGCAGUGGGGAAGAUGGGAAAAGGGACGAAAGCCUGAUCCAGCAAUGCCGGGGGAGUGAAGAAGGUUUUCGGAUUGUAAAGAACUGUAAGUGGGGAGGAGUUACCAAAAGAGAAAGCACCGGCUAACUUCGUGCCAGCAGCCGCGGUAAUAC
rnacentral:rRNA from 1 species